rnacentral:rRNA from 1 species
GAUGAACGCUGGCGGCGUGCCUAAUACAUGCAAGUCGAGCGAACGGACGAGAAGCUUGCUUCUCUGAUGUUAGCGGCGGACGGGUGAGUAACACGUGGAUAACCUACCUAUAAGACUGGGAUAACUUCGGGAAACCGGAGCCAAUACCGGAUAAUAUUUUGAACCGCAUGGUUCAAAAGUGAAAGACGGUCUUGCUGUCACUUAUAGAUGGAUCCGCGCUGCAUUAGCUAGUUGGUAAGGUAACGGCUUACCAAGGCAACGAUGCAUAGCCGACCUGAGAGGGUGAUCGGCCACACUUGAACUGAAACACGGUCCAGACUCCUACGGGAGGCAACAGUAGGGAAUCUUCCGCAAAGGGCGAAAGCCUGACGGGGCAACGCCGCGUUAGUGAUGAAGGGCUUCGGAUCGUAAAACUCUGUUAUUAGGGAAGAACAUAUGUGUAAGUAACUGUGCACAUCUUGACGGUACCUAAUCAGAAAGCCACGGCUAACUACGUG